AUUGAACGCUGGCGGUAUGCUUUACACAUGCAAGUCGAACGGCAGCGGCUGCUUCGGCCUGGCGGCGAGUGGCGAACGGGUGAGUAAUACAUCUGAACGUGCCCAGUAGUGGGGGAUAGCUCGGCGAAAGCCGGCUUAAUACCGCAUACGACCUGAGGGUGAAAGCGGGGGAUCUUCGGACCUUGGGCUUCUGGAGCGGCCGAUGGCAGAUUAGCUAGUUGGUGGGGUAAAGGCCUACCAAGGCGACGAUCUGUAGCUGGUCUGAGAGGACGACCAGCCACACUGGGACGGAGACACGGCCCAGACUCCUACGGGAGGCAGCAGUGGGGAAUUUUGGACAAUGGGCGAAAGCCUGAUCCAGCAAUGCCGCGUGUGUGAUGAAGGCCUUCGGGUUGUAAAGCACUUGUGGCGGGAACGAAAAGGACUGUGCCAAUACCACGGUUCGAUGACGGUACCCGCAGAAGAAGCACCGGCUAACUACGUG
rnacentral:rRNA from 1 species